rnacentral:rRNA from 1 species
CGAAUGCUGACAUAAGUAACGAUAAAGCGGGUGAAAAGCCCGCUCGCCGGAAGACCAAGGGUUCCUGUCCAACGUUAAUCGGGGCAGGGUGAGUCGACCCCUAAGGCGAGGCCGAAAGGCGUAGUCGAUGGGAAACAGGUUAAUAUUCCUGUACUUGGUGUUACUGCGAAGGGGGGACGGAGAAGGCUAUGUUGGCCGGGCGACGGUUGUCCCGGUUUAAGCGUGUAGGCUGGUUUUCCAGGCAAAUCCGGAAAAUCAAGGCUGAGGCGUGAUGACGAGGCACUACGGUGCUGAAGCAACAAAUGCCCUGCUUCCAGGAAAAGCCUCUAAGCAUCAGGUAACAUCAAAUCGUACCCCAAACCGACACAGGUGGUCAGGUAGAGAAUACCAAGGCGCUUGAGAGAACUCGGGUGAAGGAACUAGGCAAAAUGGUGCCGUAACUUCGGGAGAAGGCACGCUGAUAUGUAGGUGAAGUCCCUCGCGGAUGGAGCUGAAAUCAGUCGAAGAUACCAGCUGGCUGCAACUGUUUAUUAAAAACACAGCACUGUGCAAACACGAAAGUGGACGUAUACGGUGUGACGCCUGCCCGGUGCCGGAAGGUUAAUUGAUGGGGUCAGCGCAAGCGAAGCUCUUGAUCGAAGCCCCGGUAAACGGCGGCCGUAACUAUAACGGUCCUAAGGUAGCGAAAUUCCUUGUCGGGUAAGUUCCGACCUGCACGAAUGGCGUAAUGAUGGCCAGGCUGUCUCCACCCGAGACUCAGUGAAAUUGAACUCGCUGUGAAGAUGCAGUGUACCCGCGGCAAGACGGAAAGACCCCGUGAACCUUUACUAUAGCUUGACACUGAACAUUGAGCCUUGAUGUGUAGGAUAGGUGGGAGGCUUUGAAGUGUGGACGCCAGUCUGCAUGGAGCCGACCUUGAAAUACCACCCUUUAAUGUUUGAUGUUCUAACGUGGACCCGUGAUCCGGGUUGCGGACAGUGUCUGGUGGGUAGUUUGACUGGGGCGGUCUCCUCCUAAAGAGUAACGGAGGAGCACGAAGGUUGGCUAAUCCUGGUCGGACAUCAGGAGGUUAGUGCAAUGGCAUAAGCCAGCUUGACUGCGAGCGUGACGGCGCGAGCAGGUGCGAAAGCAGGUCAUAGUGAUCCGGUGGUUCUGAAUGGAAGGGCCAUCGCUCAACGGAUAAAAGGUACUCCGGGGAUAACAGGCUGAUACCGCCCAAGAGUUCAUAUCGACGGCGGUGUUUGGCACCUCGAUGUCGGCUCAUCACAUCCUGGGGCUGAAGUAGGUCCCAAGGGUAUGGCUGUUCGCCAUUUAAAGUGGUACGCGAGCUGGGUUUAGAACGUCGUGAGACAGUUCGGUCCCUAUCUGCCGUGGGCGCUGGAGAACUGAGGGGGGCUGCUCCUAGUACGAGAGGACCGGAGUGGACGCAUCACUGGUGUUCGGGUUGUCAUGCCAAUGGCACUGCCCGGUAGCUAAAUGCGGAAGAGAUAAGUGCUGAAAGCAUCUAAGCACGAAACUUGCCCCGAGAUGA